AUGCUCCCUCGCGCGGGCCAUGACCACCCUCAAGGCCAAGCUCCGCCGCCCUCUCAUGCCUCUGCCGCGCCGGUCUACGAGUCCGCCGCCGAGCUCCACCAGGCCCCCGCCGGCGACCUCGACCUUCAGGCCGUCGCCGCGCCUCCGCCGAGCCUCCUCUGGUCGCUGCCGGCCGAGCUCAAAGCUCCACUGAUGCGCGCUGCUUGCUCGUCUCGCGCCACUCCCCCAUGCCCCUUCAGCCUCCUCUGCUCGCGCAGCAGCAUCCCACCUCCGUCACCAUGUGCUGGACCCCGAGAUCACCUUCCUCAACGUCACCACGCCAUGGCCGAUUUUGUUGCUUCACUGUUGGGCAUGAGUUGCCUUGCUGCUGCCUCGAGAGCCCUUUUGUCGUGCUUCAUUUUGGGUCGGCCAGAACGAGAACACCAAGUACCGUCGCCAAGACCCCGUGAACGUCUACAUGAUGACCGCCGAGUACCUCUUCGCAAGUACAACUACCAUCACGUGGAUCCGCCAAGACCGUGGAGUAAACGAACAUGUACCCCUAUGCCCGGAGACAUCGGAUCCAUCAAGUCUGAAGACCCUUAG
rnacentral:rRNA from 1 species